rnacentral:rRNA from 1 species
UACAGAGGGUGCGAGCGUUAAUCGGAGUGACUGGGCGUAAAGGGCGUGUAGGCGGUUAUGAUUGUCUGUUGUGAAAGCUUAGGGCUUAACCUUAAGAGGCCAAUGGAUACGUCAUAGCUAGAGUGGUGUAGAGGGUAGUGGAAUUUCCGGUGUAGCGGUGAAAUGCGUAGAUAUCGGGAAGAACAUCAGUGGCGAAGGCGGCUACCUGGACACACACUGACGCUGAGGCGCGAAGGCGUGGGUAGCGAACAGG